rnacentral:rRNA from 1 species
UACGUAGGGUGCAAGCGUUAAUCGGAAUUACUGGGCGUAAAGCGUGCGCAGGCGGUGAUGUAAGACAGUUGUGAAAUCCCCGGGCUCAACCUGGGAACUGCAUCUGUGACUGCAUCGCUGGAGUGCGGCAGAGGGGGAUGGAAUUCCGCGUGUAGCAGUGAAAUGCGUAGAUAUCAGGAGGAACACCUGAGGUGAAGGCGGGUUGCUGGGCUGACACUGACGCUGAGGCGCGAAAGCCAGGGGAGCAAACGGG